CGUAAGUUGCUCAGUGUCCGACACGUGGCAGACAAAAAGUUUCCAAGUGUUGUAACGCCUGAAGUUGCCGACUCAGUGGACAGCCUCGAUGUGGGACGACGUGGAACAUGCCGAUAUACAUGGAAGGAGAGAAAGCUGACGAGGACAAAGCCUAAGAUGCUCCUGACAGCCAAUCGGAAACUGCCAAGUAAGAUGUAGUCAAGAGAUUAGGAUGGAACUGAGCCACAAGUUGCCAAACCUGAUCUCUUCGAGGUUGGUUCCUAAACGAGAGAUUUUGAGUGAUGCGGGAGCUGAAGGAAACCAUGUUUCGUUCAUUAUCAACAGGUGGGAUGGGAGUUUCUACAUAUGAACAAAGAAAAGGACAGAGGGCAAAAAAACCCAUAAACAACAAUAUUAACAGGAGAAAUGCAGAUCAGGAUGCUAUAACUACUGAUUCAUGAUCCACACUGCAAGAGGAUCGGAGACUAUUCAGAAGGGGCUGGCCUCACGAGCCAGAUUCAGCAAGAACUCUGGAACGAACCGCUUCAAGGGAAUCAGGCUGCAUUCCAAAAAGGACGUUCUAUGGGUGAUCACAUUAUGCUUGCAGCGGAGCUGGUAAAGGACUACAAUAGACCCUCGGCCGAGCCAAGUGCAAUGCUAAAAAUCGAUAUCAAGAAGGCGUUUGACUCAAUUAGCUGGGAUUUCAUUCUGGAUAUACUAAGAGCCUUGGACCUUCCCCUCGUCUUCAUUGGAUGGAUCAGGGAGUGUAUUACCAGCCCUUCCUUCUCGGUUGCAAUUAAUGGAGAAUUGGCUGGCUUUUUCAGGGGCAAAAGAGGUCUCCGGUAAGGAGACCCCAUCUCGCCAUACUUGUUCAUUAUCUCGAUGGAGGCACUGUCAAGAUCCUUGGACUUUGCCAUGCUCCAAGGAAGGCUAUCAUCGCAUCCGAGGUGUGGUUCUCCGCUUAUCUCUCACCUUGCUUUUGUGGAUGAUUUGAUGGUCUUUGUCA